UGAAGCUGAAAAAUGAUGGACAAGGAAAGUCGAGAAAGAGGAAGACAUUAACUGAGCGUCCUGUCCACACAGCUGCCAGGAAGGGUUUCAUCAUCAUCCUGGCACACAGGAGUAAGUUCCCAAGUCCUAUCAGGAGCCAUGUGAGUGGAUAUCUUCAAAGAGCACAUUGGAUACAACCUGGUAUCUCAGUGUCAGGACUAUAAAAGUAUGACAAUUUUUUCAAAGCAAUGAUUUGUAAUUACUAGAAUAUUGUCUUACAGUGACACAUGUAAGCAUGCUUUAAAAUGCAUACAAGUUUCAAUAAAGACCAAAGCUUUGCUAACACAAUAGAAGAAGAAGUCUUACAGUCUGCCUCCACUGCCUUUUGUGUGUACCAUGAGCAAGUCUUUCCCUUUUUGGAAAAUAUGCUCAACAUAACUACAUUUGCAUCAUUUAAGAAUGUAUACACUAAAUGUAUAUAAUGAUUAUUUUUAGUGGAAAAUAUAUAAUUAAUUCUGUUUCCUUACAUUUAUUUAUAAAGGUAAAGGCAUAAUUUUCAAGAUAGAGACUUUUGAAUACCGAAUAUAACUUACAUUAGAAAAUGACAGAAUCAGGUUUUAUUAUUCUUUCCAUAGACUUCUAUAUAGUUAAAAAGACAUUUGUCUUCGUUUGGAUACUUGGUUUUCUUUUUUGACACCGUCUCAUGCAGACCAGGCUGCAUUCUAGCAUACAAGACAGCCAAGAAUGACUUUAAAAUUCUGAU
rnacentral:lncRNA from 1 species